UGCCAAUGAUGUUAGAAUGAUAUUUGCUACUGUUGAUGAGUCGAUGCUCAUUUGAUGAAUACUUAUCCACCAAGAUCUCUGAGGCA